rfam:Nocardia soli strain Y48, complete genome.
AGUUCUGACACGGGGUGUCUCGCGACCGCGAGGCUGAGAACAGACCCGCCGAACCUGUUCAGGUAAUGCUGACGAAGGGAUGUCACGGUGUUGCACG